rnacentral:rRNA from 1 species
UACCUACGGGGCGCAGCAGUGGGGAAUAUUGCACAAUGGGGGAAACCCUGAUGCAGCGACGCCGCGUGAGUGAAGAAGUAAUUCGUUACGUAAAGCUCUAUCAGCAGGGAAGAAAUACUGACCUUACGGUCAGCAGACGGUACCUGAAGAAAAAGCAUCGGCUAACUCCGUGCCAGCAGCCGCGGUAAUACGGAGGAUGCGAGCGUUAUCCGGAUUUAUUGGGUUUAAAGGGUGCGCAGGCGGUCUGUUAAGUCAGCGGUCAAAGCCCGGGGCUCAACCCCGGCCCGCCGUUGAAACUGGCAGUC